rnacentral:rRNA from 1 species
AGAGUUUGAUCAUGGCUCAGGAUGAACGCUAGCGGCAGGCUUAACACAUGCAAGUCGAGGGGCAGCGCGGGGUAGCAAUACUCUGGCGGCGACCGGCGAAAGGGUGAGUAACGCGUGAGCAACGUGCCCGUAUGUGGGGGAUAGUCGAUGGAAACGUCGCGUAAUACCCCGUAACACACGGUCUCGCAUGGGACUGUGUUGAAAGAUUUAUUGCAUACGGAUCGGCUCGCGUGCCAUUAGGUAGACGGCGGGGUAACGGCCCACCGUGCCGACGAUGGCUAGGGGUUCUGAGAGGAAGGUCCCCCACAUUGGAACUGAGACACGGUCCAGACUCCUACGGGAGGCAGCAGUGAGGAAUAUUGGACAAUGGCCGGAAGGCUGAUCCAGCCAUGCCGCGUGCGGGAAGGCGGCCCUAUGGGUUGUAAACCGCUUUUGCGGGGGAGCAAUAAGGUGCACGUGUGCACCGAUGAGAGUACCCUGCGAAUAAGCAUCGGCUAACUCCGUGCCAGCAGCCGCGGUAAUACGGAGGAUGCAAGCGUUAUCCGGAUUUAUUGGGUUUAAAGGGUGCGUAGGCGGUUUGCUAAGCGGGAGGUGAAAUGCCGGCGCUCAACGUCGGAAGUGCCUCCCGAACUGGUGGACUGGAAUGACUCUGCCGUGGGAGGAAUGUGUAGUGUAGCGGUGAAAUGCUUAGAGAUUACACAGAACACCGAUUGCGAAGGCAUCUCACGAAGGGUUGAUUGACGCUGAGGCACGAAAGCGUGGGGAUCAAACAGGAUUAGAUACCCUGGUAGUCCACGCAGUAAACGAUGAAUACUAGGUGUCUGGGAGCAUAGCUCUUAGGUGCCGUCGCAAACGCAGUAAGUAUUCCACCUGGGGAGUACGUUCGCAAGAAUGAAACUCAAAGGAAUUGACGGGGACCCGCACAAGCGGUGGAGCAUGUGGUUUAAUUCGAAGCAACGCGAAGAACCUUACCUGGUCUUGACAUCCCAUUGAAUAUCCGGUAAUGCGGAUAGGCCUUCGGGACAAUGGAGACAGGUGGUGCAUGGUUGUCGUCAGCUCGUGUCGUGAGAUGUUGGGUUAAGUCCCGCAACGAGCGCAACCCUUAUUGACAGUAGCCAGCAGGUAAAGCUGGGCACUCUGUUGAGACUGCCGGGGAUAACCCGGAGGAAGGUGGGGAUGACGUCAAAUCAUCAUGCCCCUUAUGACCAGGGCUACACACGUGCUACAAUGGCGUAAACAAAGGGAGGCGAAAUGGUGACAUGGAGCGAAUCCCAAAAAUAACGUCCCAGUUCGGACUGCAGUCUGCAACUCGACUGCACGAAGCUGGAAUCGCUAGUAAUCGCAGAUCAGAAUGCUGCGGUGAAUACGUUCCCGGGUCUUGUACACACCGCCCGUCACACCAUGGGAGUCGGAAAUGCCCGAAGUCAGUGACUCAACCGAAAGGAGAGAGCUGCCGAAGGUGGAGCCGGUAACUGGGGUGAAGUCGUAACAAGGUAACC